AUGGCCCGGCGUCUGCUCCACCUCCGGCCCCGCCUCCAGGCGCUCGCCCCCCGCCUCGUCCCUUCGCGGCAGUACAUGUCCGACAUGCGCCGCUCCGUCUUCCUCGACCGCCUCCUCCGCUCCCUCCGCUCCGAGAUCUCCUCCUGCCGCGCCGAGCCCGCCCCGCGGCCGCCGCCCUCCGCCGCGCCGUUCGCCCUCGACGACCGUCCCGGCGAGCAGUGGGUCCGCCUCCGCCGCGCGUUCGGGGAGCAGCAGGAGGAGGAGGUCAGGGUGGAUGCCUCGAUGGUCGACGGCGCCGUGGCGCCCACCCGCUCGGGCGUGGCCGCGGAAGACGGCGGGCCACAGGACAGGAUGCACAUUAGCGUCCACGUCGAGGUCUCCAAGCCCGCGCGGCCUGACUUUGCGCUCAAGUUCGAGUGCUCUGCCUGGCCCGAGGAGAUGGACGUGGAGAGGGUCUUCCCCGUCCGCCGCAGCGGGCCAACGCCGGAGCAGCAAUACAUGGGCCGCCAGUUCAGGGAGUUAGAUGAGGAGAUGCAAACCGCAGUGCGUGAUUACCUGGAGCAGAGAGGGGUGAAUGACGAGCUAGCUGCAUUCCUGCACACGUACAUGGAAAACAAGGAGCAGACGGAGCUUGUAGGGUGGCUUAAAAAUAUCGAGUGCUAUCUGAAGAACAUCAAAAAGUCCUUGCUCUUUCAGAAGACGUGA
rnacentral:rRNA from 1 species